GAUGAACGCUGGCGGCGUGCCUAAUACAUGCAAGUCGAGCGAACAGACGAGGAGCUUGCUCCUUUGACGUUAGCGGCGGACGGGUGAGUAACACGUGGGUGACCUACCUAUAAGACUGGGAUAACUUCGGGAAACCGGAGCUAAUACCGGAUAAUAUUUCGAACCGCAUGGUUCGAUAGUGAAAGAUGGCUUUGCUAUCACUUAUAGAUGGACCUGCGCCGUAUUAGCUAGUUGGUAAGGUAACGGCUUAACAAGGCAACGAUACGUAGCCGACCUGAGAGGGGGAUGGGCCACACUAGAACUGAGACACGGUCCAGACUCCUACGGGAGGCAGCAGUAGGGAAUCUUCCGCAAUGGGCGAAAGCCUGACGGAGCAACGCCGCGUGAGUGAUGAAGGUCUUCGGAUCGUAAAACUCUGUUAUUAGGGAAGAACAAACGUGUAAGUAACUGUGCACGUCGUGACGGUACCUAAUCAGAAAGCCACGGCUAACUACGUGCCAGCCGCCGCCGUAA
rnacentral:rRNA from 1 species